rnacentral:rRNA from 1 species
ACUCAAAUGAAUUGACGGGGGCCCGCACAAGCGGUGGAGCAUGUGGUUCAAUUCGACGCAACGCGAAGAACCUUACCGAGGCUCGAACGGUAACUGCUAUCCCUGGAAACAGGGAGUUCUCUUCGGAGACGGUUAUCGAGGUGCUGCAUGGCUGUCGUCAGCUCGUGUCGUGAGAUGUUGGGUUAAGUCCCGCAACGAGCGCAACCCUUGCCCUUAGUUGCCAUCAGGUAAAGCUGAGCACCCUAAGGGUACUGUCGGCGAAAAGCCGGAGGAAGGUGGGGAUGACGUCAAGUCCUCAUGGCCCUUACGUCUCGGGCUACACACGUGCUACAAUGGUCGGUACAAAGGGUCGCCAACCCGCGAGGGGGAGCUAAUCCCAGAAAGCCGAUCUCAGUUCGGAUUGCAGUCUGCAACUCGACUGCAUGAAGGUGGAAUCGCUAGUAAUCGCAGAUCAGCACGCUGCGGUGAAUACGUUCCCGGGCCUUGUACACACCGCCCGU